rnacentral:rRNA from 1 species
AUUGAACGCUGGCGGCAGGCCUAACACAUGCAAGUCGAACGAGUGGCGGACGGGUGAGUAAUGUCUGGGAAACUGCCUGAUGGAGGGGGAUAACUACUGGAAACGGUAGCUAAUACCGCAUACCAUCGGAUGUGCCCAGAUGGGCUUAGCUAGUGGGUGGGGAAACGGCUCACCAAGGCGACGAUCCCUAGCUGGUCUGAGAGGAUGACAAGCCACAAUGGAACUGAGACACGGUCCAGACGCCUACGGGAGGCAGCAGUGGUGAAUAUGGCACAAGGGGCGCAAGCCUGAGGCAGCCAUGCCGCGUUUAUGAAGAAGGCCUUCGGGUUGUAAAGUACUUUCAGCGGGGAGGCGUUACCCGCAGAAGAAGCACCGGCUAACUCCGUGCCAGCAGCCGCGGUAAUUC